rnacentral:rRNA from 1 species
AACGAACGCUGGCGGCAUGCCUAACACAUGCAAGUCGAACGAGACCUUCGGGUCUAGUGGCGCACGGGUGCGUAACGCGUGGGAACCUGCCCUUAGGUUCGGAAUAACUCCCCGAAAGGGGUGCUAAUACCGGAUAAUGUCUUCGGACCAAAGAUUUAUCGCCUUUGGAUGGGCCCGCGUUGGAUUAGCUAGUUGGUAGGGUAAAAGCCUACCAAGGCGACGAUCCAUAGCUGGUCUGAGAGGAUGAUCAGCCACACUGGGACUGAGACACGGCCCAGACUCCUACGGGAGGCAGCAGGUGGGAAUAUUGGACAAGGGGCGAAAGCCUGAUCCAGCAAUGCCGCGUGAGUGAUGAAGGCCUUAGGGUUGUAAAGCUCUUUUACCCGGGAUGAUAAUGACAGUACCGGGAGAAUAAGCACCGGCUAACUCCGUG